CUGUGUCCUCCUUGUGACCAACACUUUUUUGACCAUGCUUUAAGAUUUUAAUUUGGAUGCCACUCCUACCCUAAACUUUGGAUACAUUUCUACUCUAUUCGGUAGAUCACCAUGGUAACCCGUGCUGCUCAGCUGACCAGUUGACAGUUUGACUAUUGACUGCUCAGACAACCUUCUGGAUCCCAACGUAGACAAAAGAGCAGGUGGCUUCUUGGCACCCGACAGAGGUUUGCAGAUGUUUUGACAGGACGACCAAGAUGUUAUGAAAAUAAGACAUGAAGUAUUAGACCAAGUUAAAAAAGUGCAUGGUGGUGCAGAAUCGCAGCAACACUUGUCGCUCGACCUGAACCUGGUCAGCCUCUUCGCCUAUCUGGUGUUUAUGGCCUGGACUCCAGAAGAGAGGGAUGGAGGGAGGAAGUGAGGUCGACCUGGAAGAAAGAAGACAGACCACUCUCUGCAGCUCGGGCAACAAGUGUCCAUCCGUGUGGUCUCUUUCUCUCUUUUCUCCCUUUUUCUUUCUGUCAUUUUGUCUCUCCUUGUACGUUUUUCGUCUCUUUCUGGCCUCUUUUUCAUUCUUUCACUCUUUCCAACCCCCUCUGCCUCUCUUCUGUCUCUGUCCAUCUUUCCCACUGGGACAGCAGCCAUGUGCUUUGGAGGCCCUCAGAGAUGAAACCACACACUGGAGCUGUAGCAGGGGGUAGAAGAAGACGAGGACGGCUCCAGAAUAAGCUCUGCCGGUGCUCUCGGCCAAGACACUCGCCAGAAACCAAACUGGAUGUGGUGAAACUGUCAAAUUACUUAAGGAAACUGCAUCGAAACCUCAGGAGGCAAAAAAACAGAAAGAAGGAUGAGUUUUUUUUCAGCGCAUUGCAAAACAAGCAAAGCAAAAUGGUAUUUAAAGAAGAAUUUAUUAAUUUAAGAAGUUGUCAGUGAAGAGGCCUCCUUGUUCGAGAGCAUGUUUAGUCAGUAUGUUGCAGGAUUGAUUUACUAUGACUGCGACAGAAUAAAUUCACUCAGAUUACUUUGCACAGUACUUGUUGUUUUACUCAUAAAUGUAUUUAUUGUGGUGGCCUAUAAGUGUAUUAUGUGAUUCACACAUAUGACAUUACAGUUCUCUAAU